AGUGAACGCUGGCGGUAGGCCUAACACAUGCAAGUCGAACGGCAGCACAGUAAGAACUUGCUCUUACGGGUGGCGAGUGGCGGACGGGUGAGGAAUACAUUGGAAUCUACUUUUUCGUGGGGGAUAACGUAGGGAAACUUACGCUAAUACCGCAUACGACCUACGGGUGAAAGCAGGGGAUCUUCGGACCUUGCGCGAUUGAAUGAGCCGAUGUCGGAUUAGCUAGUUGGCGGGGUAAAGGCCCACCAAGGCGACGAUCCGUAGCUGGUCUGAGAGGAUGAUCAGCCACACUGGAACUGAGACACGGUCCAGACUCCUACGGGAGGCAGCAGUGGGGAAUAUUGGACAAUGGGCGCAAGCCUGAUCCAGCCAUACCGCGUGGGUGAAGAAGGCCUUCGGGUUGUAAAGCCCUUUUGUUGGGAAAGAAAAGCAGCAGGUUAAUACCCCGCUGUUCUGACGGUACCCAAAGAAUAAGCACCGGCUAACUUCGU
rnacentral:rRNA from 1 species